rnacentral:rRNA from 1 species
UACGGGGGGAGCAAGCGUUGUUCGGAUUUACUGGGCGUAAAGGGCGCGUAGGCGGCGCGACAAGUCACUUGUGAAAUCUCUGGGCUCAACCCAGAACGGUCAAGUGAUACUGUCGUGCUAGAGUGCGGAAGGGGCAACUGGAAUUCUUGGUGUAGCGGUGAAAUGCGUAGAUAUCAAGAGGAACACCUGCGGCGAAGGCGGGUCUCUGGGCAGUAACUGACGCUGAGGAGCGAAAGCGUGGGGAGCGAACAGG